GACGUAGGGCGCGAGCGUUGUCCGGAUUUAUUGGGCGUAAAGAGCUCGUAGGCGGCUUGUCGCGUCGUCCGUGAAAACUUGGGGCUCAACCCCAAGCUUGCGGUCGAUACGGGCAGACUAGAGUGUGGUAGGGGAGACUGGAAUUCCUGGUGUAGCGGUGAAAUGCGCAGAUAUCAGGAGGAACACCGAUGGCGAAGGCAGGUCUCUGGGCCACUACUGACGCUGAGAAGCGAAAGCGUGGGGAGCGAACAGG
rnacentral:rRNA from 1 species